AGAGUACAUAAACAGAAGCUGACAAGGCGAUUCACAUGUUAGUCAUCACAGCCGACAGCUUUUUCUUCUCUUCCUCCUCAAAAACACAACUUCCUGUUUUGUGUUCUAGACAGCAUCUAAAAGUUCCUGUGGGACAAAUGGUCAUCAUGGCCAAGUACACUGAAUUCAGAAAAAGCAUGUCUUGUGUCUCAAAUUAUAUAAGCUGGCCAACUGUACACUGUGUACUUACACUAUGUACUCUGCCAUAAAGCAUAGAACUUUGUAAAGAUAAUGUCAUCUCAAGUCUUAUAGUCUACUCGUACAACAAAACACUAGUGUAGAAUAGUGCAGAAGUAUUUGAAAUGGGACAAACCUACAGUAGCUUCCCCAACACUGACACAUACACCAGGGCUGUACAGUGCGACAUAUAUAUACAGAAAAAAGUCUGUGCAAUGAAUACAUUUACCACAGCAGCAAACGUGCAAUAGAGUUUUGCUUUUGUGUGAGACAGAGCCGCUUGUUUGUGUUAAGUGACAGGUUGUUGAGUGCUUGUUUGUGUGUGAGGUUAAUCUAUGGCCACACGAUUAACCAAAAUUAAAACAAAAAUGUGAUUUGGCUAAGAAAUCGCAAAGGCUGCAAUUCUUAAAUAUGCACAGCAUGUUUCAUGGUGGAGCACACCACUGAGAUCAGAGCGAAUAGAUCGGUUCGCAAAAAAUGCUGCUUCGUUUGAGUCAUUUAUAAUGUGCAUUUGAAAAAGCAAAACACACUCUAUACUUUUUUUUCAAACCUGUAAUGAGAAGCAUUUACAAAACACUUCAUAAUGUUGCACAAUGCUUCACUUCAUAAUGCACUUCAUUGAAAUAACUUCUUUUUGUGAUCUGACGUGGCUUCAUGCCACAGAAUGAGGCAGAAAUUAUAUUUUUAGUAGGCCUAUUCUAUACAGUGAUAAAGGCUAUGUCAAUUAGCAUUGCAUAAUGAAAUAUACUUUAUUCUUAUGAAAAUACCUAAGACACAGAUAAACCAUAUAUUGUCCUGAUUGUAUGUUUAUUGUCUUUAUGUUUCAUUAGUCAAAAUGUCUCUAUCCAUUUUUUAUUCCAAUGCAGCGAUCUCUGGAUAGCUUUGUCCAUAUAAGGGGUUUCCUUUAAUGUCAUACUUUUUAUAGUUAUUAUUAUUAUAUUAUUUUUAUUCUUAAAUACUGUUUUGUAUUUUAUAGUAUUUUAUUGUAUUGUUUUACUUGUUUUUUUUUUUUUUAUUUACUUUGUUUUUUUUAUUGUAUUGUUUACUUUUACUAUUUUCAGAGAUGGUAACAGACAUUUUAUACUUGUGCUACCAUUGUAUGUCCUGUGCUACAAAACUUUCAACCACUGUCGCACCAAUGCUAUGUGAAAAAAAAAUGUUAACGUACAGCCCUGUAUGCACAAAAAAGAUUUGGGUCUCAUUCAUGAAAUAAUUUGGUUUGAACUGUCCAUGAAUCCAUUGUUACAUAAAUUGUUGCAUUAAGUCUGAUGUUUUACUUAAGAAUGAUUUUACGAUUUGUUUGUGUUUUAUGAAUGAAGCCAUCCUGAGAAACACAGGCUGUCCAAUAAGCACACAUAUACAUGCACAUGAACACUGAUGUUUAAUUUACUACUGUUCUGUCGUCAUAGCAACCUUGAACAUUUUCCUCUCGUUUAUUUGUACACUAUUUCUCCAAAUCCCCCUUCCCCUGCUUAAACAAUCCUUCUAUUAGGAACUACUUCUAAGUAUCAUCUGACAACAAUUAUGCCGAAGCAUCUUCACAAACAUAUUAUGCUCUCAGAAGUCUCCCACUCAGGGAGCAGUGAGUGAAAUAAACAAAAGAUGAGGGAAAAGAGAGAGGGAAAGUCAGCCAGGAAGGCCAGCAUGUUUGGGGUGGUGGGGAGGGUGAGGAAAGAAAAACAAACCGAGAAGGAAAAUGGCAGGAAAGAAAGUAAAAUGAAAAAGAAUGCAAGAGAAACAUAAUUAAAGACAAAACGGGGGAAAAAAUGAUUUUUUUGGACAAAACUGGGGGAAGGUGAACAUGUCACAUGAGGAUAACGACAAACUAAUGCACAUAUUGAAGUCAGGCAGUAUAAAUGCUUGAAAUUUAAUCACCUUGUUCAGUUUAAGAAAAAAACACUAGUAUUCUCUUUCGGUUAGUUAGUUAUAUCUAGGUUAGAAUCUUUUCACUUUUAUACAGAUCACAUUUUCAUCUGCUCUUUCCAUGCAAUGAUUAGGACCAGACAUCAAACUCCAUUCAAAUACUGACACCAUUGACAAGUUAUUAACAUAUGCAUCAUUUAUAUUUCUUAGUGAAAAAGAGAGAAUGUGAGAAAGUAAAGGUGUUUUUUUUUUCAUUCUUUCGAUUUCUUUUUUUUAUGUUUUUUAUGUUUUUGUUUUGUUUUUUAUGGUACUUUUUGUUUGGUUCUUUCUGUUAGUUCUUGUUCACUUAAGAAACAAUUUAAUAUUAAAAAAUAUUAACAAAACACUUUUUGUGUUACUCUUUUUGGUUUGGAACGACCUCACAGAGAGUAAAGGUUUUGUGUAGGACUGCUUCACGAUUUGCUCUAAAAUAUUUUGAUCUAAAAAUCCAUCAGUUACGCUCUGCCAGCUGUUUUAAACACAUCCUGUUUCGACACCCCCUAAGAAAUGUGUCUGAUACUUCAGGACGUCCUCAAGACUGACUAAUUGUUCAGACAAACCAAUUAGUCAAUUUUGGAAAAUAUGUUAUUUUGUACAUCCUUAGUUCAAGUUUCUGAAAAUUGUUGUGUGAAUGUCUCAUAUGUUGGGAGGAGGUUAAUGAAGUAUUAAUGCAUCUAAAAAAAGUUCUUGAACUGUUUUAUCAAAAAUCUGAAAUCAUGUGUGCAUGUGUGUGUCAUUGUUCUGCUCAACUUCCUCUCUUUCUCAGCAGAUCCUAACGGAAGAGUUGGUUGGGAGCGAGAGAUACAUAAAGAGAGAGAGAGAGAGAGAGAGAGAAAAAGACAGACACUGCUGAAGAACAGAAUGAUAAAAUCCAGAUGCAGGCAAUGAGAGAGAGAACAAAAGAGGUGGUGAAUGGGGGAAGAGAGAUAGAAAAAAAAAAGAUUCAAUAAGAAUUCCUCUUUCUAAGAGGAACUUCACCCUCAGGAUCUGAUCCAACAGCUUCUUUCGUCUUAAAUCAUCCAGACUGCUCCACCCUGUCCCACACACACCAAACACUGGCAGCAGCUGAAGUCACAUCAGCAUUCGGAACCUCUGCCUCAGUUUGUAUUUGUAAACAUGCCAACAGAUGGACAGUAACAAGCGUCUGUGAGAGUUUGGAACUGAUGCAGGACGUCCAGAACACUGCAAUAACCCCAUUACAGCUGUCACUCUAUUAACACUAUUAUCAUGUAUUAUCUGUCUGUAAUGAGCUCUCUGAGCCAUUCACAGUCAUACUGUGUGAAAGUCGUGGAAACUAAUUACAGUUAUUAAAAGAUACCAUUCUGUUUGUUUCAGUUUAUUCCUUUCUUUUUUAACAAUGCAAUUCUGUUCAUAUAAUGCAAUGCAAUUAUGAUUGAAAGACAUACAAAUAAACAUUCCUCAAAAACCUGAUGGGUCAUAUUUGAUACAUUUUAACAACUUUUCUAAAAGAAAAAAAAUGGAUAAUUACAUAAAUCAGCUAUGCAAUUCUAUUAUGUUUGUUUCACUCCAGACUUCUUCCAUUUAUUGAACUUUUCUCCUAAUAAUGUUUCUCAACUAUUCUGUAAUUCAAUUACUCAAUUCUAUUGGUUUAACUUCCCUUAAUUCUAUUAUAUUUGUUUUAUUUCACUAAUAUUUUUGUCUAUUCAUAUGAAACUGAGAAAGUCAUGGAAAAUAAUGUUGUUUUGUGCUAUAAAAGAUUUCAUUCUGUGUGUUUCAGUUUACUCCUGUUUUAUUUCACUAUGCAAUUCGGUUAUAUUCAUUAAUUUUAUUAUCCAACUGUUCUACUCUUUUGGUUCCACAUUCUCUUAUUCAUCUAUGCAAUUAUACUAUAUUUACUUCAAGUCAGACUUAUUCUGUUAUUCAGAUACUCUAUUUUUUAAGCUUUACUCUUCUAAUUCAUUUUUAAAUUAUUCAGUUAUAUUGGUUUAACUAAACCAGUAUUCACUACUCUAACUGUUUUGUUUUAAUUACUCUAUUAUAUUAGUUUUACUUCACUCCUAUUCCAUUCUAUUCUUUUUUUUUUUUUUUUUACAUAUGAGACACAUUCAUAAAGAAAGACCAGAAACCCUGAAGUCUUUUUAUAACAGUCAUGAGUUUGUUAAGCAUCGGUGUGUCCUGCAGUUUUUCCUGGUGAGUUCAGAUGAGAUGAGGGGGAAUUCCCACCUUCAGUUUUUUUUUUUCCUAUUUACUGUUGUUGUAUUCCCAU